rnacentral:rRNA from 1 species
CCUACGGGAGGCAGCAGUGAGGAAUAUUGGUCAAUGGCCGGAAGGCUGAACCAGCCAAGCCGCGUGAAGGACGAAGGUGCCAAGCAUUGUAAACUUCUUUUGUCAAGGGACAAAAUCAGGCUCGAGAGCCUGACCGAGGGUACUUGAAGAAAAAGCAUCGGCUAACUCCGUGCCAGCAGCCGCGGUAAUACGGAGGAUGCGAGCGUUAUCCGGAUUUAUUGGGUUUAAAGGGUGCGUAGGCGGGCUGUUAAGUCAGCGGUAAAAGCCCGGGGCUCAACCCCGGCGAGCCGUUGAAACUGGCUGUCUUGAGAUGUCGAGAGGUAUGCGGAAUGCGCAGUGUAGCGGUGAAAUGCAUAGAUAUCACGCAGAACUCCGAUUGCGAAGGCAGCUUACUAAGCCAUAACUGACACUGAAGCACGAAAGCGUGGGGAUCAAACAGGAUUAGAUACCCUUGUAGUC